ACGGGAGGCAGCAGUGGGGAAUAUUGCACAAUGGGGGGAACCCUGAUGCAGCGAUGCCGCGUGGAGGAAGAAGGUUUUCGGAUUGUAAACUCCUGUCUUAAAGGACGAUAAUGACGGUACUUUAGGAGGGAGCUCCGGCUAACUACGUGCCAGCAGCCGCGGUAAUACGUAGGGGGCGAGCGUUGUCCGGAAUUACUGGGUGUAAAGGGAGCGUAGGCGGGAUUGCAAGUCAGAUGUGAAAUACAGGGGCUCAACCUCUGAGCUGCAUUUGAAACUGUAGUUCUUGAGUGAAGGAGAGGUAAGCGGAAUUCCUGGUGUAGCGGUGAAAUGCGUAGAUAUCAGGAGGAACACCGGUGGCGAAGGCGGCUUACUGGGCUUUUACUGACGCUGAGGCUCGAAAGCGUGGGGAGCAAACAGGAUUAGAUACCCUGGUA
rnacentral:rRNA from 1 species